AUUAGAUACCCCCGUAGUCCCAGCCGUAAACUAUGCGCGUUAGGUGUAUCGGUGACCACGAGUUACCGAGGUGCCGAAGGGAAACCGUGAAACGUGCCGCCUGGGAAGUACGGUCGCAAGGCUGAAACUUAAAGGAAUUGGCGGGGAGCACCGCAACGGGAGGAGCGUGCGGUUUAAUUGGAUUCAACACCGUAAACUCAUCAGGGAAGACUGUUACAUGAAGGCCGAGAUGAAGACUCUGCUAGACUUUCAG
rnacentral:rRNA from 1 species